rnacentral:rRNA from 1 species
UACGUAGGGGGCAAGCGUUGUCCGGAUUUAUUGGGCGUAAAGAGCGUGUAGGCGGCUUUACAGGUCCGUUGUGAAAACUCGAGGCUCAACCUCGAGACGCCGGUGGAAACCGUAAAGCUAGAGUCCGGAAGAGGAGAGUGGAAUUCCUGGUGUAGCGGUGAAAUGCGCAGAUAUCAGGAAGAACACCCGUGGCGAAGGCGGCUCGCUGGGACGGUACUGACGCUGAGGCACGAAAGCGUGGGGAGCAAACAGG